rnacentral:lncRNA from 1 species
AGGUAGAGGCAGAAAGAAGGGUCUUAAAAGCAUGACCUAUUCCUUGGAGAUCUGCAAAGAGUAUCAGAUUAUCUUCAUUCAACACAUAACACAGGCCUUGGAGACCUACAUUUGCAGGUGGUAGAACCAAGUGAAAAACCUAAUCAGAAAUCAAUUCUACAAACAGGAGGAGAUGUUCCUUUUUGUCUGACUCAAUUACGUGGGAAGGAAGAGACAGUGUGAGAAUGGGCUGGGGAUAAUAUAUCAGUAGAGAUUAAGACAUUAAUACCCACAAUCCUUUGGGUCACAUGAUUUUUCUUUUUGAGUUCUCAAAUGUAGAAAAAUGAAACUUUGAACCAAGAAGACUUUUAGAAGCAGUCUAAACCAAGAUCUUUAAUUAACAGAAAAAUCAGAAGCCCAGUCAAGUGAACUACCAAUGAAAUAAACAGCACACAAUCGGUUGAUGCAUAGAAAUAGUGUUUGCCUCAAUGAACUGAUCUGGACUCAAGCCCUUUAAAAGAGACAACCUGAGGCUGCUCUGGAUCUGCUAUAGAGCAAAUAAAGUUUUAUCUCCAUGUUAUUAUUACUAGUUCCACUUCGAGCAGAAACAAAGAAAAUCUGUUUAUAAAUGUCUCCAGUUAUGUUGAAGGUAGAUGCAAUUUGGAGGGCCUCUCUGAGUGGUCCCACUACCCCCAGAUACUGACUCAGAGAACCAGCAUGAGGUUCUACCAUCUCAAAGACCCAUGCUUCCGGUAGUACUGAUGGAGGAAAGAGAAACCAAAUAGAGUGGGGAGAUCAAGCAGCAUGUUUUAUGACCACAAUGGGAAAUGAUGUCCAUUCCUUCUGCCAUUUGCUAGAACUAGUCACAAGGUGCUAAACAUGCUUAAAUCAAGUACCAGACAAAUCUCCCUGAUCAAAGUGCAAAGGUGAGCUGAUGUGUCAGAAGAAGGGGUGAAAUCUGCAGCACUUCUGUUCAACAUGCCCAAGAGGAAAAACAAGCAACAGCGACAGCACCAGAAGAGGAAGAUUCCUCAAGGCAAAACUACAUUUCUCUGGAGUGCCCAAUCCUCUCCAAUGUGACUUGGAUAAUUCUCAAUAAUUUAAGCAACUUGGAGUCCUAAUGUUUUUUGCCAGAGACUAAUUUAGAGUUUGCCAAUGGACUGUCUCUGACCAAUGAAGAAGUGAGGGGUGGUCUCCUGGGAGCUUCUUUGAAAGGUUCCCUCACUUCACAAAGAACAUGAGGAAGAAAUACUUGCUCUUUUGAAUGUUAUGUUCCUGUAUAGGGCACCUAAACUGAUAUUGCCAUGGGCAUCAAUGAAGGACAUUAGGCAAAGGCAAAGACAACAUGUAGAGAAAGAUAGAACUAAAAGGCAGAAGCAACCCACGUUCAAACGUCAUCAUGAAGCCACUGAAUUAGCCUAGUAAUGGACCUCAGUGCUUAACUAUUAUUGAGAUACUUCAUUUUCUUUAUUGUGUAAGCUAAUUUAAGGCAUA